UAAAGCCACUACAAAUUUAUACUAAAAUUGAACAAAUAUAUAAAAGGAUGGCAGAUGGUAGGAGACAGAUUUCUCUCUGUUGGAGUAGGAGGUUACAAAUAAGGAAAAAGGGAGGUUAGAAUAAAUCACAUCAUACUGGAUUGGGGUGGGAGAAAUUGGUAUAAAUGUAUGUUCACAUAUAUAUAACUUACAUAUGUACAUUUAUUUGUAUAAUAAUAAAUAUGUAUAAUUAUAGAUGGGUGUACAUACCCAUAAUAAUAUACACACAUAUAUUUUCUAGCUCUGUCUGCUUAGAGAGCCUUAUAAACAAUGACAAUCCAGUAAUAAUAAGCGCAUGCAGCACACUCAGAACUUAUACCUCUGUUUUCAAUGUUAUUCUACAUAGGCGGACCAGAACUCCUUGAAGAAAUGACUAAUCCUUGAGCUUAGGAGGUACAUGUGCAGGUGUUUUACCUGGAUCUAUUGGAUGAUGCUGAUGCUUGGAAUACAAGUGAUUCCGUCACCCAGGUACAAGUGCUCCAUGGAGAAAAUGGUGAUUCAGCGCCUGAGCCAUGAAAUAUACAAGAUGAGCCUGGAGAAUCCUGCAGUUCUAGAAAGGUGCUCCUUGACAUCCUAUGAAAGAAUGUCCUUGAAGAAAGAUGCUAAAAUGUUCAACGAUUUUUUUAAAGCAGAAAGUCUGAAGUAGCUGCGUUUUUAUUUUAGGUUCAGUGGGUACAUGUGCAGGUUUGUUACAUGGAUGAAUUGCGUCACUGAGGUUUGGAGUACAAAUGUUUGUGUCACCCAGUAGUGAGCAUAGUAACCAACAGAUAAUGAAUAUCACUUUGGAAUAAAACAGCAAAUGAAAUAAUUGUAUAAGAAGACUCAGGUGGCAGAAAUGAGUGGAGGCCUUAAUGAUAAGAGAGAAAACCAAUCUGGCUCAGGGUAAUCUUUUGCUUAUUUAUAUGAUCAAAAUAAGAUGUUUCAAAAUGGAAACAGCCAGAGUCUAUAUUCUUUUCUUACGACAUGCUUAAAAUGUAGAAAGUACAAGAUUUUGGCUUAAAAAUGCCUAGUUGAUUAAAUUUUAUAACCUUGAAAUAGGAUUUUAUAAGAUUUUGCAGUGAAUACUGCAAAAAAAUGGGUUUGCAUGCUGCAUAAGAUCUUAUCUAUUGGUUUAUUUCACAGAUUCUGUGUAAUCAAAUAUCUGACAUCUAGUUGUUAUCCUGAAUAUGUGCUAAAUUUAAUCUAUAAAAAGGGACAGGGAGGAAGGAAUAUCAAAUCAUCUAGUCAUUUUACCAUGAAAAUAAGUAAUAUAUACAUGUUAUUGACUAAAGGGUACUUAUUACUUACACCCUAAAAAAUUGCUUGAGCAUGUAACUGAAUAGUGCCCAUGGACCCAUCUUACUUAUUUUGAAAUACAGCAAAUAUACAGAUGUAUUACUCAUGUAGAGGUAUUUAUAUCAAAAGUAAAAAACAAUUAAAUUUCUCACAACUUAUAAGAGCAGCAAUCUCCAUAGGAACCAGUGUCAAAAUAGGAAAAACUUAAGGGUUCUUGACAAAUUGCUGGAGGCUCAUUAUGGAAGAGUCUGAAAGAUUAAAAACUCCUGUGCUACAGUCUUUGGGACCCCCCCCCCCAUUUGUUUCUGAGUUUUGCCUUCAGGAGCUCUGCCAGGUUCUCAUAAUGAAUAUCAGAGAAAAUUACCCUCAAGCUUUCAGCAGUGGGUGGGUAAAGGAACCAUUUUGAAAUUUUCCAGAACAGUCUUUUCUUUACAAGAUUUACCUACAGGAGAAACCAGUUAAAGAAAGCCUAAACUGCUGGGGUUUUAUCUGAGCCUACAUGACCUUGGGGAAGGGAAACACAGAACUCCAGCCCCUCCUUUCUUUACGUGGAAAAUGCCGAAACCCAGCUCACUCUAGCCAUUGUGUCCCACCUAAAGGGGUGGGAAAACAAAGCAAAAAAAAAAGUUGAGAAGCAGAUUCGAAGUUCACAACUCAGGCACAGGCUCACGAAAAGACUAGAGCUACUAACAGGAUUAAAGAAAACCCCCUUUCUCCUAGUACACCAUAUCGUCGCAUUACUAAAGGCCUAUUUACAAUUCCUUUUAACCAGCCCAUUUCCAACUAUCAAGAAAACAAUUUACAAUACAUAACAAAAGACAAAAUAAUAAUAAUUCCAAGAGACAGGGCAAGCAUCAGAACCAGACUCAGACAUAGCAGGCAUGCUGGAAUUAACAGAGAGAAAGAGGAAAUUGAACCAUAAGAAAUGCUCUAUUAAACCACAAAAGACAGAAAAAGAGUGAAAAAUAAAAAUAGAAGCAAAAAAUAAUGGCAGCAAUUAGAAAACUGAAACAAAUAUAGUAGAUAUUAAUCCAGCUUUGUCAGGAGAGAAUCAGAAAACAAAGCCCAACUAUGUGUUGCCUACAGAAAACGCACUUUCUUAUAGGCACUUAUAGAUUCAAACUAAAUAAAUCGAGAAAGAUAUAUCAUGUUGAUACCAAUAAAAAGAAACCAGAAUUAGCACUAUAUUAAUUUCAGACACAGCAAAUUUCAGAGUAAGGAAAGUUGUCAGGAAUAAAAAGGAGCAUGAUGUAAUAAUGAAGGACUCAUUCGAUGAGACAUAACAAUAUUUAAUGUGUAUGUGCCUGACAACAGAGUAUAAAAAUAUGUGAGGCAAAACCCAUAGAAAUAUGAGGAGAAAUAAAUGCAUACAGUAUCAUAAUUGACUUCAACACUCCAACAGAAAUGGACAGAUCCAGUAGGCAGAAAAUCUGUAAGUGCAUAGCUAAAAUUAACCAUACCAUCAAUCAAAUAGAUAUAAUGGACAUCUACUGACUACUUCAUCCAACAACAGCAGAAUACAUAUUUUUCUCAAGCUCACAUGAAACAUUCAACAAAAUAGACUGUAUUUUGGGCCUUCAGAAUCACCUUAAACACAUUUUAAACAUAAAAAUUACAUAAUGUCUGGUGUCUGACCACAAUGGACUUGAACUAGAAAUCAAUAACAGAAAAAUAGCUGAGAAAUUACAAAAUAUUUGGAGAUUUAACAACAUACCUCAAAAUAACACAUGGGUUGGAGAAAGAGUAGAAAUUUUAAAAAUAUUGUGAGCUAAAUCAACAUAAAAGCACUAGUUCUCAAGAUGUGUGAGAUUCAGUGAAGGCAGUGUUUAGAGUAAAAUGUAUAGCAUUAACAUUAGAAUACAAGAAGAACUCAAGCAAUUAUCUAAGCUUCCACCUUAGGAAGAUAAAGGUAAAGCAAAUUAAAUCUCAAGAAAGAAUAAAAGAAGUCAAUCUGAAAAGGGUACAUAUUGUAUUAUUCCAGCUAGAUGACAUUUCAGAAAAGGAAAAAUUAUGAAGAUAGUAAAAAUAUCAAUAGUUGCAGGGGUUGGUCCAGAGAGAUUGAUGAAUAGGCAGAGGAUAGCGUUAUUUUCAGUGCCCUGAAAGUAACCUGUGUGAUACUAUAAUGAUGGAUACAUGUCAUUAUUAAUUGUCCAGCCCGGGAAUGCAAAGCAUCAAGAGUGAAGACUUGUAUGAACUGUGGAUUUGGGGUGAUAAUGAUGUCUCAGUGUAGGUUCACCAAUUGUUACACAUGCACCACUUCAGUAAGGGACGUUGAUAAUAGGGGAGAAUAUGCAUGUGUGGAGGCAGAAGGUUCAUAGGAUGUCUCGGUACCUUCCCAUCCGUUUUGAUGUAAACUUAAAACUGUUUUUUUAAAAAAAUAACCUCUCUUAGGCCGGGAGCGGUGGCACAUGCCUGUAAUCUCAGAACUCUGGGAGAUCAAGGCCAGCAGAUCACUUGAGGUCAGGAGAUCAAGAACAGCCUAGCCAACAUGGUGAAACUCCGUCUUUACUAAAAAUACAAAAAAAUCAGCUGGGUGUGGUGGCGCACACCUGUAACCCCAGCUACUUGGAAGGCCAAGGCAGGAGAAUCACUUAAACCUGGGAGGCAGAGGUUGCAGUGAGCUGAGAUCGCACCACUGCACUCUAGCCCGGGCAACAGAGCAAGACUCAGUCUCAAAACAUAAAUAAAUAAAUAAAUAAAUACGUAAACAAAUAAGUAAAUAAAAUCUCUUAACUAUUUUUUUAAAUUAUAUUGCAAUAAUUAUAAAUAUAAAAUAAUUGAAUAACAUUUGAACUAUACAGUUAAGUGUAAAUAUAUUUUAUAUUUGUGUAACUGCCAAAAUGGAAAAUUGUAUUUUCUAUUAAAACAAAAAUAUUUCUACAUAGAAAAUUCAACCAACACCAUAUUAAUUUAGGACAAAAUAUAAAUUACUUUGGAUAUACACUAAUGCGGUAUGGGUACUUUCAAGAUACGAACAAUAUAGCCAAAAUAACCUUUUUGCUCGCCAGCGAUUAUUUUUAAUUAAAAAUAAUAUAUUUUAAAAACCUUGCAGUUGAUUCAUGUAAAUAUUUCAUUUUUAUCGAAAUUAGCUUUUCUAGUUGUAAGAAAUUGGAAUACACCCACUUUGAUUUACUACAUUAAAAAAUAUAGCUUAGAAAUCUCAUGGGUAAUACACUAUCCCUAGGAUUUUUAUAGGCAUGCUAUCUUACUUAAGAAAUUAAUUUACAUAAGCAUUAAGCAUGAAAAAGUUGGCAAAAAUCUUUAUACUGUAUUCUUAAAAUGUCUUAACAAAUAGUACCUAGUAAGAGUUAAAAAGAACACAACUUUUAGAUUUAUAUUUUAGUGCUAAUUCAGCAUAUAGUGGUUAAAAGUUUCUGAUCAAAUCAUCUGAGAUCAGAAUCUGUCUCUUACAUUUAUUAGCUGUCUAGCCAUGGACACCUCAUUUCACCUUCCUGUAUGUCAGUGAGUAUGUUUUUGUUAUUGAGUGCUUCUCAAGCUUUUUAACACAUCAUCAGAAUUUAAGACAUAUUUGUUGUUGUGACCUCUUACAGUAUUUUUACAUAGAGGCCCAACCUUUCUUAAAAUUAACACCGUUUCCAGAUAGCAUUUCAAAAGUAAAUUGCUCAAAUUAAGAGAAUAAAACAAUUAAUGGUAAAUAAUGCCAGACAUGUGAUGCAAACCAUAUACAUACUGUCUCUCAUGUCGUUUUCAUAAAAUACUUCUAAGAAGACUUUUUUUUCUAAUUCCAUAUUAUACAAAGGCUUACCAUGCUUAAGUAAAUUAAUCAAGUCACACAGCAAGUGUGUCUUCUUGAUAAAAUUUCAGGCCCAGGGGAAGGAGAAAGAAAUGGCAUGAUGAAGAUGAAAUGAAAGAUGGAUGAAGAAUAUGAUGAUAAUUAAAGUAAAGCAAAAUAUUUUAAUCUUGACAUGUAAAUCACUUAAGCAGUACUUAGUAUAUAUUCAGUGUCCAGUAAAUUUACAUUUUUUUGUUUUUCUUAAUCUUCCUUUCAUGCGCGUAUCUGUGAAGAGACCAGCAAACAGGCUUUGUGUGAGCAACAUGGCUGUUUAUUUCACCUGGGUGCAGGUGGGCUGAGUCCAAAAAGAGUCAGCGAAGGGAGAUAGGGGUGGGGCCGUUUUAUAGGAUUUGGGUAGGUAAAGGAAAAUUACAGUCAAAGGGGGUUUGUUCUCUGGCGGGCAGGAGUGGGGGUUGCAAGGUGCUCAGUGGGGGUGCUUUUUGAGCCAGGAUGAGCCAGGAAAAGGACUUUCCCAAGGUAAUGUCAUCUCUUGAGGCAAGGACCGGCCAUUUACACUUCUUUUGUGGUGGAAUGUCAUCAGUUAAGGUGGGGCAGGUCACAUUCACUUCUUUUGUGAUUCUUUAGUUACUUCAGGCCAUCUGGGCAUAUACAUGCAAGUCACAGGGGAUGUGAUGGCUUGGCUUGGGCUCAGAGGCCUGACAUUCCUGCCUUCUUAUAUUAAUAAGAAAAAUAAAAUAGUGUUGAGGUUUUGGGGCGGCAAAAAUUUUUGGGGCGUGGUAUGGAGAGAGAAUGGGCGAUGUUUCUCAGGGCUGCUUCAAGCGGGAUUAGGGGCAGCGUGGGAACCUAGAGUGGGAGAGAUUAAGCUGAGGGGAGGUCUUGUGGUAAGGGGUGAUAUUGUGGGGAUGUUAGAAGAAACAUUUGUCCUAUAGAAUGAUUGCUGAUGGCCUAGAUACGGUUUUGGAUGAAUUGAGAAACUAAAUGGAAUAACAGAAGGAGAAAAACAGGUAUAAAAAGUCUUAAGAAUUGGGACGACUCAGGAUAUCUGAUUAGAGAGUGCCUAAGGAGAUUCAGCAUAGUCCUGCCAGCAAAGAUUAUUUAUUUACUUCAAGAGUUAAGAGUGGCAGUUUGGGGAUAGCACCAGGAGAUAUCAGCUGUGAUGGCUUGGAAAAACAGUGUAAACCAGCAGUGUAAACAAGAGCAGGGCAUGUAUGAGUAGUUAGGAACGGUGAAUAGGAGUAUGACUAGACAGAAGAUAGCAGGGAAGACAAGUUUUUUAGGGGCACAGUCUAAGUUGGUCUGGUGUCUGGAAUGAGACCGGGGCCUAAUAAAAAGGAGCAUCUAUACAGGAGCUCCAAUGGGCUGUACCCUGUAGCAUUCCGAGGACAGGCCUGAAUUCUGAGAAGGGAAAGUGGUAAAAGUAUUGUCCAGUCCUUUUUAAGUUGGUGGCUGAGCUUGGUGAGGUGUGUUUUUAAAAGACCUUUAGUCCAUUCUACUUUUCUUGAAGACGGAGGACCAUAAGGGAUAUAAAGGUUUCACUGAAUACUAAGAGCCUGAAAAACUGCUUGGCUGUUUUGACUAAUAAAGGCCCUUCUGUUAUCAGACUGUAUUGAGGUGGGAAGGCUAAACUGAGGAAUUAUGUCUGACAGAAGGGAAGAAAUGACUGCGGUGGCCUUCUCAGACCCUGUAGGAAAGGCCUCUACCUAUCCAGUGAAAGUAUCUACCUAGACUAAGAGGUAUUUUAGUUAUCUGACUCAGGGCAUGUUGAGUAAAGCUAAUUUGCCAGUCCUGGGUGGGGCAAAUCCUCGAGCUUGAUGUGUGGGAAAGGGAGGGGGCCUGAAUUAUCCCUGAGGAGUAGUAGAAUAGCAGAUGGAACACUGAGAAGUUAUUUCCUUGAGGAUAAAUUUCCACAAUGGAAAGGAAAUGAGAGGUUCUAAGAGGCGGGCUAGUGGCUUGUACUAUAGUAUAACCUGCCUUUGCUGGUGGUGUGUGGCGAUUAGGCCUGGUGGAACCGCCAUCAAUAAAUCAAGCGUGAUCAGGGUGAGGAACAGGAAAGAAGGAAAUUUGGGGAAAUGGGGUGAAUAUCAGGUGGAUCAGAGAGAUACAGUCAUGGGGGUCAGGUGUGGUAUCAGGAACAAUGUGGCAGGCCGGAUUGAAGUCUGGGCCAGGAACAACGGUAAUUGUGGGAGACUCAACAAAGAGUGAGUACAGCUGAAGGAGCCGGGGAGCAGAAAGUAUAUGCAUCAGGUAUGAGGAAGAAAAUAGAUUUUGGAAGUUAUGAGAACUGCAGAGAGUGAGUUGAGCAUAGUUUGUGAUUUUGAGGGCCUCUAAAAGUAUUAAAGCAGCGGCAGCUGCUGCACACAGACAUGAGGGCUAGGCUAAAACAGUAAGGUCAAGUUGUUUGCACAGAAAGGCUACAGGGUGCGGUCCUGGCUCUUGUGUAAGAAUUCUGACCUCACUAACUAUGCCUAGGAAGGAAAGGAGUUGUUGUUUUGUAAAGGAUUGAGGUUUGGGAGAUUAGUCGGACAGGAUCAGCAGGGAAAGCACGUAUGUUUUUAUGAGAAUUAUGCCGAGAUAGGUAACAGAUGAGGAUGAAAUUUGGGCUUGAUUGAAGUAAUGGGGGCUGUCUGUGAAGCCUUGCGGCAGUACAGCCUAGGUUAUUUGCUGAGCUUAAUGGGUGUCAGGGUCAGUCCAAGUGAAAGCGAAGAGAGGCUGGGAUUAAGGGUGCAAAGGAAUAGUAAAGAAAGCAUGUUUGAGAUCCAGAACAGAAUAAUGGGUUAUAGAGGCAGGUAUUGAGGAUAGGAGAGUAUAUGGGUUUGGCACCACGGGGGGGAUAGGAAAAACAAUUUGGUUGAUAAGGCGCAGAUCCUGAACUAACUUGUAAGGCUUGUCUGGUUUUAGGACAGGUAAAAUGGGGGAAUUGUAAGGAGAGUUUAUAGGCUUUAAAAGGCCAUGCUGUAGCAGGCGAGUGAUAACAGGCUUUAAUCUUUUUAAAGCGUGCUGUGGGAUGGGAUAUUGGCGUUGAGUGGGGUAAGGGUGAUUAGGUUUUAAUGAGAUGGUAAGGGGUGCAUGAUCGGUCGCCAAGGAGGGAGUAGAGGUAUCUUAUACUUGUGGGUUAAGGUGGGGGGAUACAAGAGGAGGAUGCAAAGGAGGCUUUGGAUAGGGAAGAAGGGCGGCAAUGAGAUAUAGCUGUAGUCCAGGAAUAGUCAGGGAAGCAGAUAAUUUAGUUAAAGUGUCUCAGCCUAAUAAGGGAACUGGGCAGGUGGGGAUAACUAAAAAGGAGUGCUUAAAAGAGUAUUGUCUAAGUUGGCAGCAGAAUUGGGCAGUUUUAAGAGGUUUAGAAGCCUGGCCGUCAAUACCCACAACAGUUAUGGAGGCAAGGGAAACAGGCCCUUGAAAAGGAAGUAAUGUGGAGUGGGUAGCCUCUGUAUUGAUUAAGAAGGGGACGGGCUUACCUUCCACUGUGAGAGUUACCUGAAGCUCGGCGUCCGUGAUGGUCUAGGGGGCUUCCGAGGUGAUUGGGCAGUGUCAGUCUUCAACCGCUAGGCCG
rnacentral:lncRNA from 10 species